UGAUGUGGGCAGCAGGAGGGGGCAGCCAGCCCUGCCUAACCUCUCCAUUUGCACAGAGCAGGGGGUGAGUGCCUCUCCCUGAUGGCCAUCCCUUUCAAUGCUUUAAAUAGCUCUCCUUGACACAAGGCAAUGAAAAUGGCUCACUGACAAGUUUCUCCCAGCCCCGUGGCUAUGAGGUCUGUUCUCUAAAGAAAAAUAGAUGUGGAGACCAUUUGGCUUGAAACCCCUUAAGCAAGUGGAUAAAAUUAAUCAGCUGUCUUUUAACUCUGAUUCAUUUUUCCUUUAAUUCAAUUUACCAAAAUGUGUGGGCAGAGCCUGAGCCUCUGGGCAUAUUAACAUUAAUAAAACACAAUUAAGCAAAUGUUAUUAUGUUGCCAGCAACAAAAAGAAUGCCCCUGAGUGUACAACUUCCCCUUGCUGUAAUAAAUAUGCAGACAUGAGAACUGUGCCUUGCAACCCGUUGCUUAAACAGCUUUAAAAAACCAAAAUACCCACUUUGGUGAAUACAAAGAAGCCAUCGGGAGUAGACCAAAAGUGAACGCACCGAGGCCUUUUGCUGGAAGAGAAGGCAUGAGAGGAGCAGUGCGCCACAGUCAAAACUCCACCCUCAGCAAAAAGAACAGAGGAACAAAAGCAGCGAGCUCUGCCAAGUUAGGAUAAAUGUUCAUGCUGAUGCUCUGUAUGAAUCUUUGCAUCGUUUCAUCAGAAAAGAAGCAAUUCUUUAUUUCUGAGAAUGGCCCAGAGACUUUUUUUUCACCAGGAUCCAAUUCCUAGAGGCAUUUAAUUGUGAUUCUUUUAUGAUGUAGUCCUUUGGGAGAAAGAAGAGAAAAACAGAAGUUUGAAAGACAGAUGCCCCGAUUAACAUGGGGCGUGCUGUGGGUCUUUGCCCUGUUCUGAGUGUCAUGUGUGUGACUAUUCAGCCUCUUCCUGGAUUGCAUUCCAGCCAAGCUCAUGGACAUCUCCUGCAUUUGAGGCAAUCGAAGCCAAAGCUGCUGCUUUGCCCUUCACCAUGUUCCUGCUGCCUCCAGCAGAGCCCUGCAGAGCUGGGUCAUUUGGAUCUGCCCCUCCUGGGAAAGUGGUGGGUGCAGCCCCAGCUCUGUCACUGCUGCCUUGCACUGGGAGAGUGCAUUUGUGGAGUGUGGAAGCCAAUACGGAUCGUAAAGAGAUGGAGGAGUAAUCCAAAGGAGGCAGGAAGCAAUCCAGGUGCAGCAAGGAUUGGAACAAGGCAGGUUGAGGUCAGAGAUUUCCCACUGGCUUCCAGCUGCCAGGAGAGCCACACUACCGAGCGGAGUGCCAAGGGAGAGGCUCCAAAGUUUGCUUAUGGAGGUUUGGGGAGGUUGUGUGAAACCCAUCUCCAGCUUUCCUUGUCAUUGCAACGAAUGGAAGUCUGCGGCUGUGUGCAAAUACUGUCUCUGCAGCAGUACAAGGAAGGAUGCGAGGUGCCAGGACUCAUCCCACCACUGAGAGGAGGAUUCGGUUUCUGGCUGCGGUUGGUAAAAGACAGAUGUACAAUACACAAAGCAAGAGAUGACAUUCAGAAUGUGUGUCACCGUUUGCACUGGGCAGUUGCUGAACCCAUCCCCAGCCCGUGACUGUCAGCACCAGCCUUGGUGCUUCCAUGUCUCUCCUGAAUCCACAGUGUGGAAAAACCAGGCUACAAACAUGUUGAGAAGACAGAUGGAUUUCAGCGAGGCUCAGGGGGCUGCAGAGAGGGUCUGGGUACAGGAAAUUGGCAAAGUAGAUGAGGAGAUGGGAGGAAUUUGUGAAGGUAAGGAAGCAGGAGUGGAGGAGGAAGGGUGGGGGAACAGGCUGGUGCAGCAACGGAGAGGUGCAGCUUAGUCUGAGAGCCAGGAAGGGAGGGCAGGAAAGCUCACAUGGGCUUUGCUGUUGAGGCAAGGACGAGGGAUGGGAUGGGCAUCUUAAUGCUUUGGGAAUGGAAAUGGAAGACUUCUUAAGUCUCAAAUGAUAUCCAGUGGGUGUUUCCUGAGCCAGGAGAUGUCCCACCUUGGCCACCACUAGGAAAAAGAGCAGACAGAGAUGGCAACUCUCUU
ensembl:lncRNA